GGUUAAGCGACUAAGCGUACACGGUGGAUGCCCUGGCAGUCAGAGGCGAUGAAGGACGUGCUAAUCUGCGAUAAGCGCCGGUAAGGUGAUAUGAACCGUUAUAACCGGCGAUUUCCGAAUGGGGAAACCCAGUGUGACUCGUCACACUAUCAUUAACUGAAUCCAUAGGUUAAUGAGGCGAACCGGGGGAACUGAAACAUCUAAGUACCCCGAGGAAAAGAAAUCAACCGAGAUUCCCCCAGUAGCGGCGAGCGAACGGGGAGGAGCCCAGAGCCUGAAUCAGCAUGUGUGUUAGUGGAAGCGUCUGGAAAGGCGCGCGAUACAGGGUGACAGCCCCGUACACAAAAGCGCAUGUGCUGUGAGCUCGAUGAGUAGGGCGGGACACGUGGUAUCCUGUCUGAAUAUGGGGGGACCAUCCUCCAAGGCUAAAUACUCCUGACUGACCGAUAGUGAACCAGUACCGUGAGGGAAAGGCGAAAAGAACCCCGGCGAGGGGAGUGAAAAAGAACCUGAAACCGUGUACGUACAAGCAGUGGGAGCACAGGUUUACCUGUGUGACUGCGUACCUUUUGUAUAAUGGGUCAGCGACUUAUAUUCUGUAGCAAGGUUAACCGAAUAGGGGAGCCGGAGGGAAACCGAGUCUUAACCGGGCGUUAAGUUGCAGGGUAUAGACCCGAAACCCGGUGAUCUAGCCAUGGGCAGGUUGAAGGUUGGGUAACACUAACUGGAGGACCGAACCGACUAAUGUUGAAAAAUUAGCGGAUGACCUGUGGCUGGGGGUGAAAGGCCAAUCAAACCGGGAGAUAGCUGGUUCUCCCCGAAAGCUAUUUAGGUAGCGCCUCGUGAAUUCAUCUCCGGGGGUAGAGCACUGUUUCGGCUAGGGGGCCAUCCCGGCUUACCAACCCGAUGCAAACUGCGAAUACCGGAGAAUGUUAUCACGGGAGACACACGGCGGGUGCUAACGUCCGUCGUGAAGAGGGAAACAACCCAGACCGCCAGCUAAGGUCCCAAAGUCAUGGUUAAGUGGGAAACGAUGUGGGAAGGCCCAGACAGCCAGGAUGUUGGCUUAGAAGCAGCCAUCAUUUAAAGAAAGCGUAAUAGCUCACUGGUCGAGUCGGCCUGCGCGGAAGAUGUAACGGGGCUAAACCAUGCACCGAAGCUGCGGCAGCGAACGUAUCACUUAAAGCGAUUCAGCGGGUUACGAUUGACGGAGCGAAGCGACGUCAAAGCGUAUACAAAGUCGAGUCGGUUUAAGGAUACGUUCGUUGGGUAGGGGAGCGUUCUGUAAGCCUGCGAAGGUGGCCUGUGAGGGUUGCUGGAGGUAUCAGAAGUGCGAAUGCUGACAUAAGUAACGAUAAAGCGGGUGAAAAGCCCGCUCGCCGGAAGACCAAGGGUUCCUGUCCAACGUUAAUCGGGGCAGGGUGAGUCGACCCCUAAGGCGAGGCCGAAAGGCGUAGUCGAUGGGAAACGGGUUAAUAUUCCCGUACUUGGUGUUACUGCGAAGGGGGGACGGAGAAGGCUAUGUUGGCCGGGCGACGGUUGUCCCGGUUUAAGCGUGUAGGUGUGUGUUCCAGGUAAAUCCGGUUCACUUUAACACUGAGGCGUGAUGACGAGGCACUACGGUGCUGAAGCAACAAAUGCCCUGCUUCCAGGAAAAGCCUCUAAGCAUCAGGUAACAUCAAAUCGUACCCCAAACCGACACAGGUGGUCAGGUAGAGAAUACCAAGGCGCUUGAGAGAACUCGGGUGAAGGAACUAGGCAAAAUGGUGCCGUAACUUCGGGAGAAGGCACGCUGACACGUAGGUGAAGUGAUUUACUCACGGAGCUGAAGUCAGUCGAAGAUACCAGCUGGCUGCAACUGUUUAUUAAAAACACAGCACUGUGCAAACACGAAAGUGGACGUAUACGGUGUGACGCCUGCCCGGUGCCGGAAGGUUAAUUGAUGGGGUCAGCGCAAGCGAAGCUCCUGAUCGAAGCCCCGGUAAACGGCGGCCGUAACUAUAACGGUCCUAAGGUAGCGAAAUUCCUUGUCGGGUAAGUUCCGACCUGCACGAAUGGCGUAAUGAUGGCCAGGCUGUCUCCACCCGAGACUCAGUGAAAUUGAACUCGCUGUGAAGAUGCAGUGUACCCGCGGCAAGACGGAAAGACCCCGUGAACCUUUACUAUAGCUUGACACUGAACAUUGAGCCUUGAUGUGUAGGAUAGGUGGGAGGCUUUGAAGUGUGGACGCCAGUCUGCAUGGAGCCGACCUUGAAAUACCACCCUUUAAUGUUUGAUGUUCUAACGUGGACCCGUGAUCCGGGUUGCGGACAGUGUCUGGUGGGUAGUUUGACUGGGGCGGUCUCCUCCUAAAGAGUAACGGAGGAGCACGAAGGUUGGCUAAUCCUGGUCGGACAUCAGGAGGUUAGUGCAAUGGCAUAAGCCAGCUUGACUGCGAGCGUGACGGCGCGAGCAGGUGCGAAAGCAGGUCAUAGUGAUCCGGUGGUUCUGAAUGGAAGGGCCAUCGCUCAACGGAUAAAAGGUACUCCGGGGAUAACAGGCUGAUACCGCCCAAGAGUUCAUAUCGACGGCGGUGUUUGGCACCUCGAUGUCGGCUCAUCACAUCCUGGGGCUGAAGUAGGUCCCAAGGGUAUGGCUGUUCGCCAUUUAAAGUGGUACGCGAGCUGGGUUUAGAACGUCGUGAGACAGUUCGGUCCCUAUCUGCCGUGGGCGCUGGAGAACUGAGGGGGGCUGCUCCUAGUACGAGAGGACCGGAGUGGACGCAUCACUGGUGUUCGGGUUGUCAUGCCAAUGGCACUGCCCGGUAGCUAAAUGCGGAAGAGAUAAGUGCUGAAAGCAUCUAAGCACGAAACUUGCCCCGAGAUGAGUUCUCCCUGAGACUUUAGGUCUCCUGAAGGAACGUUGAAGACGACGACGUUGAUAGGCCGGGUGUGUAAGCGCAGCGAUGCGUUGAGCUAACCGGUACUAAUGAACCGUGAGGCUUAACCUU
rnacentral:rRNA from 2 species